UAAAUACUCUCUAGUGACCGAUAGUGAACCAGUACCGUGAGGGAAAGGUGAAAAGCACCCCGGAAGGGGAGUGAAAUAGAACCUGAAACCGUGUGCUUACAAGUAGUCAGAGCCCGUUAAUGGGUGAUGGCGUGCCUUUUGUAGAAUGAACCGGCGAGUUACGAUUUGAUGCAAGGUUAAGCAGUAAAUGUGGAGCCGUAGCGAAAGCGAGUCUGAAUAGGGCGUUUAGUAUUUGGUCGUAGACCCGAAACCAGGUGAUCUACCCUUGGUCAGGUUGAAGUUCAGGUAACACUGAAUGGAGGACCGAACCGACUUACGUUGAAAAGUGAGCGGAUGAACUGAGGGUAGCGGAGAAAUUCCAAUCGAACCUGGAGAUAGCUGGUUCUCUCCGAAAUAGCUUUAGGGCUAGCCUCAAGUGAUGAUUAUUGGAGGUAGAGCACUGUUUGGACGAGGGGCCCCUCUCGGGUUACCGAAUUCAGACAAACUCCGAAUGCCAAUUAAUUUAACUUGGGAGUCAGAACAUGGGUGAUAAGGUCCGUGUUCGAAAGGGAAACAGCCCAGACCACCAGCUAAGGUCCCAAAAUAUAUGUUAAGUGGAAAAGGAUGUGGCGUUGCCCAGACAACUAGGAUGUUGGCUUAGAAGCAGCCAUCAUUUAAAGAGUGCGUAAUAGCUCACUAGUCGAGUGACACUGCGCCGAAAAUGUACCGGGGCUAAACAUAUUACCGAAGCUGUGGAUUGUCCUUUGGACAAUGGUAGGAGAGCGUUCUAAGGGCGUUGAAGCAUGAUCGUAAGGACAUGUGGAGCGCUUAGAAGUGAGAAUGCCGGUGUGAGUAGCGAAAGACGGGUGAGAAUCCCGUCCACCGAUUGACUAAGGUUUCCAGAGGAAGGCUCGUCCGCUCUGGGU
rnacentral:rRNA from 1 species